AGCAGCCGCGGUAAUUCCAGCUCCAAUAGCGUAUAUUAAAGUUGUUGCAGUUAAAAAGCUCGUAGUUGAAUUUCGGGAUCAGUACGCUGGUCAUGCCUUUGGUAUGCACUGGUGUCACUGGUUUCUCCCUUCUGAAGAUCCGUGAUGUCAUUAAUUUGGUGUCGCGGGGAAUCAGGACUGUUACUUUAGAAAAAAUUAGAGUGUUUAAAGCAAGCUCACGCUUGAAUACAUUAGCAUGGAAUAAUGAAAUAGGACGUUUGACCCUAUUUUGUUGGUUUCUAGGAUCGACGUAAUAAUUAAUAGGGAUAGUUGGGGGCAUUAGUAUUCAAUUGUCAGAGGUGAAAUUCUUGGAUUUAUUGAAGACUAACUACUGCGAAAGCAUUUGCCAAGGAUGUUUUCAUUAAUCAAGAACGAAAGUUAGGGGAUCGAAGACGAUCAGAUACCGUCGUAGUCUUAACCAU
rnacentral:rRNA from 1 species